rnacentral:rRNA from 1 species
GAUCAUGGCUCAGGACGAACGCCGGCGGCGUGCUUAACACAUGCAAGUCGAACGAGAAUCUACUGAAAGAGUUUUCGGACAAUGGAAGUAGAGGAAAGUGGCGGACGGGUGAGUAACGCGUGAGGAACCUGCCUUGAAGAGGGGGACAACAGUUGGAAACGACUGCUAAUACCGCAUGAAGCAUAGGGGUCGCAUGAUUCUUAUGCCAAAGNUUUAUCGCUUCAAGAUGGCCUCGCGU